GUAAGAAAAACAAAAAGGCAUUAAUAUUUUUCAUUUAAAUUCUGAUAUAUAAACGAUACUAUUUUGCAAGAACUAUAAUAAAAGUUGGGCUUUUGUCUAGAAGCAGGUGUAAAUAAUUAUUUUAGCCGUUUAGCUCCAUUCGCUCCCAUUCUUUGAGGACUAUCUUGCGAGCGCCCUCUCGGUGAAUUACAGCCAAGUUCGGUACAACGGCAUUAAACGGAAGUGGACGGUCUCUGGCUGUAGUUUCCCUAUCUUCAAGUAUGUUGCCGGGGUCUUUUCAUGCGUUAUUGGCAGGGGUUUUGAGUGCACUCGCCUCUUUUUCUGCAAAGCUGUCCCUUGGUGCAGACUACCUCAGAGAGAUGUGCGAGUCCACACUGGGAAGCUGGACUGAAACGUAUGGUGGAGCCACACACUGUAACUGGCUCCACAUCCCCCUGCGGCUGCUGUGUGUAGGCCUGCUGUUCACCUGUAAUGCUGUCAUGUGGACCUUCUUCUCCAAGGCUCUCCAACAAAGCUCCUCUUCAGCCAGAGCCACAGUCACUACCACUGCAUCUAACUUCAUCUGCUCAGCCAUCCUUGGGAGGGUGAUUUUUGGAGAGACCCAUGCAGCUCUGUGGUGGGUGGGCAUCUGUCUCACCCUGUGUGGACUGCUGGUGCUUCAUGGAUCCACACCUCAGGCCCUCCCACAAGACGAAGGCAAAAAGGACAAGUAAUGAGUAAAGUGGGUUGCCGCAAGUGUGCAGCCUCUGCUCUUCAGUCAUGGUCACAACAAACUGUGGCAAGACUCCCUCAGAGACACAUCAUGAGAAUCCUCAGGCACUUGGAAGUGGAAAUGAGGUUUUUUAAAAGAGGUAACUCAGUGUCUUAAUGCCAAACGUCGGGAUAUGUUGCACAGAACUGACACAGAGAGCAUUCAGUAGCAUCAGUCCCAGACACACCUCUGACAUACAGACUAAUAUGCCCCUGUUGUUGUGGAGAGUUUUCUUUAUUGUUUUUUUUCACUGAGCGUGUCGGUAAUCUGUAGGCCAUGUUCAGAACCCAAAAAUAUUUGGGGUUCAUUAUAAACUGUGUUGGGACUAAUCAGAGUGUGUCAGAGGACGUCAGUACAGUAGUCGGUCUUUCAGUGUGACCCGGGACAUAUCUGUGUUCACACUCCUAAAAGAAUGUUGCCACAUGUGGUCCAGACCACCACUGAAUGUGGUCUGAGUGAUGGGAUCUCAAAUGUGUCCUCAAUGUGUCUUGGGUGUGUUCACACCUGAACUUAGAGCUGUCCACUUGUGGUUGGAUCACUUGAGACAGACGUUAAUACAGGUCUGAACAGGUCUGAACAGGUCUGAACAGGUCUGAACAGGUCUGAACAGGGCCUUAGAGGUGAGUUGGUCACUGAGAUUGUCAGGUUUUUGGGUCAAUACAAUUAUGCCUCCUUCAGUCCAAAAUUAAAUUAAUUUUUGAACCAUAAUUCAAUGCGUAAAAUAACUUUUCUCUUUAGUUACAUGAGUAAAGAUAAGAUAGUUUAAAGUUUUUUAAUACACAUUUCUCAAAACUUCACAAGCAUUUACACUCGUCGACUGAGUUUGCAGUGUGAAGUGCUGAGUAGACUGCACACCAAAAUAAUCAGAUAUGGAAAACGGAAAGCUCUAUACACAUAGGUUUACUGCAAAUAUUUAUUGAUAAACCCAAAGGUUAUUGAUUAUUAUUGAUACUUGCAUUGAACCAAAAUUUGCCAGCCUCCUUUCUCUCAGUAAGAGAAGACUGAAAACAUUGCUGUUGUUCUGUCAGGAACACUCAGGUCAGGUAGUGCAGACCAUCUGGCUGUGACAGAACCAGCAGUGAAGACAAUCAUGAUCCAAAUCACCAAGUAAAGACAUCCUGUUACUGUCUUGUACAUAAUGUACCCUGCUUAAUGCUCACUUGCUUGGGAACUACUUUUUGCCUUUGUAUGUUCAGGCCAACGCUCACCCAGGAAUCAGAGACAGGAAUCACAAAAACACUGCACUAAUAUUUGUAACAAGUAAACUUAUGAUUUAAUGUACAUAUGGACCAUCUCAUUGAAUUUAAAGAGUAGUUCAACAUUUUAGGAAAUGCUCUUAUUUGCUUAUUUGUCAGGAACUAGAUGAGAAGAUUGAUGCCACAGUGUCUGGUGAAUGUAAGGCUACAACAAACAGGUAGCUUAGCAUAAAAACGGAAGCAUGGGGAAACAGCUAGCUUGACUCAGUCCAAACGUAAAAGGAAACUUGUUUUAAAAGUUUAAUCUAAUUACUAGUAUUUUAUUAAUGUACAACUCUGGUUAACUGUUGUGUCUAAGAUGUUAAACAGCCACCCACCACUAGCAUGGAGCUGCAGCUGCAACAGAUGGCAGCGCUCUUCUCCCUGAAAACCAGCACAGUGUGGAAGUAAUUUGAUGUAUAGAAUGAAAAUGAGGCUGUAUGUGUCUGUGUCAGAAUAAACUGGUGUAUAACUCGACCUGAGCCAUGCGUAACCACAUUCAGCACAGGUAUGUGGAGGUUAACCUGCAAGGAAAGAAGGCUGCUGGUGUUAGCACUGCUACCGUUGGCCACACUCGGCCAACCAAUGUGUCGUUGUUUACCUGACACUGUGAUACCGCUAGGUCUGAGGAGAUAACAGAACUUAAUAUGAACUGUUUUCCUG